UACCAGCACCCCGAGUGGUCGGGACGUUUAUUGGGCCUAAAGCAUCCGUAGCCGGUUCUACAAGUCUUCCGUUAAAUCCAACUGCUUAACAGGUGGGCUGCGGAAGAUACUAUAGAGCUAGGAGGCGGGCGAGGCAAGCGGUACUCGAUGGGUAGGGGUAAAAUCCGUUGAUCCAUUGAAGACCACCAGUGGCGAAGGCGGCUUGCCAGAACGCGCUCGACGGUGAGGGAUGAAAGCUGGGGGAGCAAACCGG
rnacentral:rRNA from 1 species